rnacentral:rRNA from 1 species
AUUGAACGCUGGCGGCAGGCCUAACACAUGCAAGUCGAACGAGCGGCGGACGGGUGAGUAAUGUCUGGGAAACUGCCUGAUGGAGGGGGAUAACUACUGGAAACGGUAGCUAAUACCGCAUACCAUCGGAUGUGCCCAGAUGGGAUUAGCUAGUAGGUGGGGUAAAGGCUAACCUAGGCGACGAUCCCUAGCUGGUCUGAGAGGAUGACCAGCCACACUGGAACUGAGACACGGGCAAGCCUCGUACGGGAGGCAGCAGUGGGGAAUAUUGCACAAUGGGCGGAAGCCUGAUGAAGCCAUGCCGCGUGGAUGAAGAAGGCCUUAGGAUUGGAAAGUACUUUCAGCGGGGAGGCGUUACCCGCAGAAGAAGCACCGGCUAACUCCGUGCCAGCAGCCGCGGUAAUUC